UUCCAGAUAUCAUAUUACACAACACAAAAAUGCGAACCGUAUUAAUAAUACAUAACUUCCAAAACGAAAUUCGUUAAUACAGCUGUCCUUGGCCUUGGGCACGUAACAUCAGUUGGUGGCACGGCGAAAGGUCAAAUGGCUCCCCGGUGACUUUACUCCUGUUGCUACCACCAUGUUUGUGGCGGAGGAAGGUGGAGAAGAAGUAGACAAAAGCUGUAUAUCCGAAGUUUGGAACCGUCCCGAGUCGCCGGGAAGUCUCACGUAGGAAGCAGAAGGCGAUUCAUUUAGCCAUGCCCCCUUCUCUCCUUGUUCUCCAUUUUUGUACUGCAUUAUAGCUUUGUACACAUAUGGAAUCAGACCCUCCAUACCAUAUAUUUUGUAUGUUCAACUCUGCGUGUGAGAAGAAUGAUUUUGGGGUGGCGUGGGGAGGAGUAGGGUUAAAAAGGCAAAUGAGAGGUUGACGUGGUAGGACUAAUGUGUUGGGUUGGAGUCUAGCUGGUUCCAUUGCAAAACAAAACGCCUCGCACGAACCAUUGAAGAAGAUUUUGAAAGCUACAAUCUCGUUACAACUCACCAAAUCUUAUUAGAAUAAUGAUUCUACAUCUUGUGCAUUACUAUACUUGUUCAUUGGUCGGUUGACACUAAUAAAUAAUUUAGUAUAUUG
rnacentral:lncRNA from 1 species